AUGUAACGCGAGUUCUUUCUUUGUGCAAUAGAAUUAACAUUAUACGUUUCUACUAACCGUAUACGUAACAUCGAUCUGUGUGUCUCUCUCUCUCUCUCUCUCCUCUCUCUGUCCUUCUCUCCCUUUCCCUCCCCCCCUCUGUCUCUCUCUCUCUUUCCUCUCGUCUCUCUCUCUCUCUUUCUCUCUUUCUCUCCGUCUCUCUGUCUUCUUUUUCAAUCUGUAUAAGUAUUGAAAAUUGACCGAUUAUGGUGAUUAAUAUGAAAUGAUCUCGACACGAACGUUAUUAUUCGAAUGUCGAGGUUAGGUCAAACAUCGUGGCAACGAAUCGAAGAAGAAGACAUUUCAUACGACGGAUUAAUUAUUUUUCUAUUUUACGUGGACCAGAAUACUUCUUCGCCGUCUAAAUGCGCAUUAAAAUGUCGGAGUUCCCAGUGGAGGGGGGAGAAAACGGGGACAUGCAAGCGGUCAUGGAAAACUUUCAAAAAAAGAACAAUCUGGUCACUGGCCGGACCCAUGUUUCCCAUCAUCCACAAGUUACCACUUCAUCGCAGAUGCUGACGACGAAUCAGAGCCAGAGCAGCAGCAGCAGCAGUAGUUCGAGCAGGGUGGCCAAAUCCUCUCAGAGGAUCCUUACGUCGUCCUCGUCGAGUGAAAUGAAGGCGAGCUCUAUGAAGAGCGAUCUGACAGAAUUAAAGCGUGGCAUUUCGGAGAUGAAAAAUAUUUCAACGAAUUUUUCACGAUUACGUAGCAGCAUGGAGAAUCUCGUUGACAGAGACGGAACCGGCGCCGAAGAAAAUGAUUUGACCGAGCCAUUGGUAACAUUCCCGGAUCCUGAUACACCUCCACCCUCAACGGGAACUGUCACAUUGACGGGAGGUUCACCGUCUCAAUUGAGUUCUCUCAAUUCAUUGAACAAUCUUCACAGUAUGAGCCCGCAGAUGAAUAUGCCGAGUAUAACGAAUAGGACGAGUUUACCUGCCGGUCAGGAAACUAUGAAAUUCGAACAGAAGAAAAUGACGAGUGCAUCCAAGACGAAGGUCGUUACCGAUGGAUUUAGUGCUGAAAAGGCAAUAGCCAAUAGCGCUGAAAUGAGAGCAUUACAAGCUGGCGAUGUAUCUUACAAAGAACAAAGCGCCGCGACCGCGGCAAGGGCACGGGUCGAAUUGGACGGUGUAUCUGCGGAAAAGAGGGUAGCUGCAGCCAGAGAACAGCGAAGCUUGAAGGCUGGAGAUUUAUCGCAUCAAGAGAGCAACAACAUGGCAGCCUCGACUAUGAAGUUACAAAGUGAUUCAUUCAGUUCAGAAAAGAAGGCGAUGGCGGCACAACAACAACGUCAGACAGUAACUUCCUCAGGAAUUUAUAAUCACGAAAAACACAUGGCAUCGAGUUCGCAAUCGAGCAUAACAAUAGCUUCGAAAGGAGUUACGUCAAAAUCAUCGAUGAUAUGUGCCGCCAAUGCGGUAAAUCAAUUGAUGAAUGGUAUGAGGCCAGCUGAGGAUGAACUUCUUUCAUUGCCAUUGGACGAUCUGGAUUUAUUAUGUUCUAAGUCAAAUCCGCAGGAUGUUGAUCGUGCGAUUGCUAAAUACUCCGGUUUCUUGGAUAGUUUCGUCGAACGUUUAAAGACCAACGAAGGAAAGAACGGGAAAGCUCCGUUGUUAUUGAACAGGGUAAACGAGAUCAUCAGAAAGGCCUGGGCUGUACCUACUCAUGGUCAUGAACUUGGUUAUACACUGUGUAACACCCUUAGAACGAGAGGUGGUCUAGAUUUGUUGAUGUCAAAUUGCAUUGCGAGCGAUCACGAAUUACAAUUCUCCUCGGCCAGAUUAUUGGAACAAUGUUUGACAACUGAAAAUCGUGCCCACGUGGUUGAACAUGGCCUUGAGAAGGUUGUAAACGUAGCUUGUGUGUGCACGAAGAAUGCCAACUCCGUGGAUCAUUCUAGAGUGGGCACCGGUAUAUUGGAACAUCUCUUCAAGCAUAGUGAGGGUACCUGUAGCGACGUUAUCAGGCUUGGCGGUUUGGACGCGGUUUUAUUCGAGUGUAGAAAGAACGACGUAGAAACAUUGAGACACUGUGCCGGGGCAUUAGCCAAUUUGUCACUUUACGGUGGUGCUGAAAAUCAAGAAGCUAUGAUCAAGAGAAAGGUACCAAUGUGGCUCUUUCCACUUGCCUUUCAUAACGACGAUAAUAUAAAGUAUUACGCUUGUCUGGCCAUCGCAGUUUUAGUAGCCAACAAAGAAAUUGAGGCGGCCGUUUUAAAAUCCGGUACCCUUGACUUAGUCGAGCCAUUCGUAACAUCUCACAAUCCUUACGAAUUUGCAAAAUCGAAUUUGGCGCAUGCUCAUGGACAAAGUAAAAAUUGGUUGGAAAGAUUGGUACCCGUGUUAAGUUCGAAAAGAGAGGAAGCCAGAAAUCUCGCAGCUUUUCACUUUUGCAUGGAAGCUGGUAUUAAGAAACAACAAGGCAAUACCGAGAUAUUUCGUGCCAUAGGAGCGAUCGAACCAUUGAAGAAAGUCGCCAGUUGUCCAAAUGCAAUUGCCUCCAAAUACGCUGCUCAAGCAUUACGUUUGAUCGGCGAGGAAAUACCACAUAAACUUAGCCAACAGGUACCACUUUGGUCUACGGAGGAUGUUAGAGAAUGGGUUAAACAAAUAGGUUUUGCCGAGUGUGCUGCAAAUUUUGUUGAGAGUAGAGUGGACGGUGAUCUUUUGCUCCAAUUGACAGAGGAGAAUCUCAAGGAGGACAUCGGCUUGACGAAUGGAAUUAGAAGGAGACGUUUUACGCGGGAAUUACAAAAUUUGAAAAAAAUGGCGGAUUACAGUAGCAGGGAUACCGGAAAUUUAAAUAGUUUCUUACAAUCUAUCGGUCAAGAAUUUUCUAUAUAUACUUAUAGUAUGCUCAACGCUGGCGUUGACAAAGAUUCUAUCAGAAAUUUAUCCGAGGAUCAAUUAUUGACCGAGUGUGGUAUAGCCAAUAGUAUACAUCGACUUAGGAUAUUGGAUGCCAUAAAGAACAUGCAACACAAUCAAUUCAGUUCUUGCGAAGACGAAUCGCCGGAUAAAUCUUUAGAUGUAUUCGUUAGUUAUAGAAGAUCCAAUGGAUCUCAAUUAGCUAGCUUACUCAAGGUUCAUUUGCAAUUACGUGGAUUUUCGGUCUUUAUCGACGUCGAAAGGUUAGAGGCCGGUAAAUUCGAUAAUAAUUUGUUGCAAAGUAUAAGACAGGCCAAACACUUCCUCCUUGUGCUAACGCCCAAGGCAUUAGAAAGGUGUAUACAGGACAACGAGUGUAAAGACUGGGUCCACAGGGAAAUUGUAGCUGCGUUACAAUCGCAGUGUAACAUUAUUCCCAUAAUAGAUAAUUUUCAAUGGCCUGAACCUGAAGAUCUUCCUGAAGAUAUGCGAACGGUUUGUCACUUUAAUGGCGUACGUUGGAUUCACGAUUAUCAAGAUGCUUGCGUAGACAAAUUAGAAAGGUUUAUGCGAGGAGAAAUUCCUGUAAGAUCUGAAUUAUCCGGUGGUAUACCAAGAAGUAUAGCAUCCAAGGACGUAACAGCACCUAGUACGCCAGGUAGCACGAAUAUGCGACAAGCACCAAAUUAUCAACGAAUGCAUAGCAAUGAAAGUAGAGGUAGCGACAAGGAUUCAAAUGGUGGGCGAGACUGACUAGACGGCCCGCCCACAGCUAUUCCAAACAGCAGGGAAUAUGAAUCGCGAUAAGACAAUCACGAUUUUAGAUUUAGAAAAUCGUCGAGUCCGUCCCGUUGGUUAAUGGGUUUGCCGCCAACGUCACCUCGAUUAAAAUUCGUCCAUACACAUCCUGGAGGAAGUCCAAUACCU